rnacentral:rRNA from 1 species
UACGAAGGGGGCGAGCGUUGUUCGGAAUUACUGGGCGUAAAGGGCGCGUAGGCGGCCCUCUUUGUCGCGUGUGAAAGCCCCCGGCUCAACCGGGGAAGCGGCGCCGAAACGGGUCGCCUGGAGGGGAGUAGGGGGACCUGGAACUUCCGGUGGAGCGGUGAAAUGCGUUGAGAUCGGAAGGAACGCCCGUGGCGAAAGCGAGGUCCUGGGCUCUCACUGACGCUGAGACGCGAAAGCCAGGGGAGCAAACGGG